rnacentral:rRNA from 1 species
GAAACAAGAUACAGGCUAGCGGCGGACGGGUGAGUAACACGUGGGUAAACCUGCCAAGGGAUCGGGAUAACACCUGGAAACAGAUGCUAAUACCGGAUAACAACAGAUGAUGCCUAUCAACUGUUUAAAAGAUGGUUCUGCUAUCACUCUUGGAUGGACCUGCGGUGCAUUAGCUAGUUGGUAGGGUAACGGCCUACCAAGGCGAUGAUGCAUAGCCCGAGUUGAGAGACUGAUCGGCCACAUUGGGACUGAGACACGGCCCAAACUCCUACGGGAGGCAGCAGUAGGGAAUCUUCCACAAUGGACGCAAGUCUGGUGGAGCAACGCCGCGUGAGUGAAGAAGGGUUUCGGCUCGUAAAGCUCUGUUGUUGGUGAAGAAGGACAGGGGGUAGUAACUGACCUUUGUUUGACGGUAAUCAAUUAGAAAGUCACGGCUAACUACGUGCCAGCAGCCGCGGUAAU